AGCCAUGGCUGUUGACCUUUUCCCACAUACUGCACAGUGUGAAAUGGUGAUGCUCCUGGAGAGUUAAAAAACCCAUUUGCUCAUCAUACAAUUUAUUCCAUAGCAAAGAAUGGAUGAAAGCUCGGUUGUGUUGAAAUUUUGAUAGAUAGCUUCAAUCUGUUUGAUUUCUUGUUUAGCACAUUCGGGAAUGAUUGUUGUAAUUGAUUUCAAUUAGAAUGACAAACUUUUGUGUGCCUGAAGAAUUCCCAAUUAGAUAGGGAAAGCAAUGA
rnacentral:misc_RNA from 1 species